ensembl:lncRNA
AAGGAGCUAAAGGAGACAAGGCUCUGCCUGUAAUUUUAAGGCUUUUUAUUAACUNUAUAAUCCUAUGGGUUUGGGGGUGCUGCCUCCAACAGGAACAGGCUGUUUGUUCCCUGUCACACACCUGUAACUCCUGCCCUCCCCAGGAACCCCGAGACUCUCCCGUAUUUGCAGCCGCUGCCUCCCAGCAAGGAGCCACAGUACAGCCAAAGGGCCCAUGGCAGUCCCCCUCGUGUGCGACAUUGCUGCGGGGACCAUCACAGCAGCAGCUCCACGACGCAGCACGUCAAGGCUUCCCCACAAAUAAGUCCACAGCCGCCACGUCUCCUCAACAGGCCCAGAGUGAACCAGCUGCUGGACAGUAGUGGACACACAUGGAGAGGCCGUAGUGACCAGCUUCCUGCGGUGAUUAGGACACAGCAUGAAUCAGGCCCUGCCACCUCACGGGAGCACCGGCCAGGCACAGCCCCCCGACACAUCUCCUGGGCAAGAGGGCUCCUCCAGCCACUCCAGCCCCGCCAGACAUCCACAGCCCCCAUCCAGGUGGACAUGACCCAUCGCCCGGUGCUCGAUCUGGCACAUCUUGUCAGAAGUGAGAAAAAAGUGUGACAACGGUCAUCAGAAACAUGACACUUCAGUUCUAUUAAGUUAAUAAAAAGCCUUAAA